UUAGGCGUGGAUUAGGCAUGCAAGUCGAGGGGGAGUAGCAAUACACCAGCGGCGAAAGGGACAGGAAUGCGUCGAUUACGUACCCCUAGAGUCUGGGAUAGCUGCGCGAAAGGGCGGGUAAUACCAGAUGAUGUCUCCGGAUCAAAGGUGUGAUUCCGCCGGGGGAGCGGCUGCGUUGUACUAGCUAGUUGGUAGGGUAAUGGCAUACCAAGACUUUGAUGGGUGGCGGGUGUGAGAGCACGACCCGCGUCACUGGGACUGAGACACUGCCCAGACAAAUACGGGUGGCUG
rnacentral:rRNA from 1 species